CUCCCGCCCCCUGCACCCGCGGGACCCCGCGCAGCCUCGCCCAGCGCUGCCGGGCGCCGGGAACAAAGAGCAAUGCCGGGCCGCGGGGGCCGCACGGCGAUGGAGGCGCGGUGGCUCUUUUCUUGCCUUCGCUAAACCCUGUGAAAUCUGCGGGUCAGAGCCCCAGGAAGGCUUGGUGGCAGCAGGUUAAAUGAGGUGACCAUGCCGGCUUCAGUAACCACGUCGGGCACUCCAGUUCAAGCGCGGACUCCGGGAAGCGGGCCGGGUGCUGCAGGGCCUGCUGGCAUUACCCCUGCUCGCAUUUCGUGGAAUACAGUUCUUUGUUUUGCACCAAAUGGAAACCUUACCAGAAACGAACCAGGGGUGCUGCCUUCCACCUGCCAUCUGUCUUAAGAAUAAAAUGGCCUGCAAGUCGGUUUUCACAGGCUGACAAAGCACCGCCAGUGCGGGAACCCCACGCCAGGCUCCCAGGUGAUCUGCAUGGGCUGCAAGUCACACCCCAGUCCUUAAAAUACAGACUUACAGGAGCUGCAGUGUGUACCCCCAAGGUAGAAGAGUAUGAGGAAUUGUUACAAACCACAUUGCAGAACAAAUUUCUAAAAAGGGGAAAAAAUCCAGCUUCAGUCCCCAAGUGUAAGAUCUCUUUUUCAACUACACAUGAUAUAAGGCUUAUUAAAUACUGCUAUGCACAUAAAGGGCAUCCUUGGAAUCCAGAUUGGAGAGAGGAAAAUAUCUCCAAUUUGCUGGUCCUUUGGGAAACUGAGGAAAAAAUUAAAUUCACAGCUUCAAAUUCCAGACCAAACUAAAAAUCCUGCCUUCUCAGAACACUCUUGAGACCUGGGUCUACCCCAGAUAUGCAUCCACCUUCCCCAGAGUGUUAUGAAAUUCAGUAAAAUGUCAUUUCACACAUUACUAAUCGGGCUCUUAAUAAGUGUAUUGAGUGCAUACGAGGGGUCACAUGUGUGAAUCCAUCUUGUCACACUUGAGCACAUAGUUCAGUGUAGGGGGUGACAUUUAAAUAAUAACACCCCCCCAAAAAAUAAAUAAAAUAAAUAAUGACAUCUCAGAGUUUAAACUGCCCCAGGAGAAGAACCAUUACAGUGGUUUAGGGACAUGGAAAAUUGCUAGAUCUGCCCUUUUUUAUAUAAUUUUUUAAUAUUUAUUUUUUAGUUUUUGGCGGACACAACAUCUUUGUUUGUAUGUGGUGCUGAGGAUCGAACCCAGGCCGCACGCACACCAGGCGAGCGUGCUACCACUUGAGCCACAUCCCCAGCCCUAGAUCGGCCUUUUGCAGCAGUAAGAUUCCAUGAAAUUAAUUUAGAAUUUUCUUAAACUGUAAAGGAGUUAUUGUAGAGCUUACAAAAACAAACUUUUUAGAUAUGUACAAAUUAUGUAUUUCAUUCAAGGAGAACCUAAUUCUUUAUAGGCCUCCUUUUACUAGCAUAAGUAUAAAUUGUUCUUGACUAUUCCUGAACUGUUCUUACUAGGCAUAUUAAUAGCACAAAUACUUGAUUCUUCUAAAUUUAGUCAUUUGUAGGUAUUUUAAAUAGUCCCAAAAAUGUUUUAAAAUUAUUAUUUAGGUCUAUGGCAUGCAAAUUAUUUACACAUUUAAAUGUACUCUUCUAUUUUCAUUGAAAUCUGCUUAUAGAUGUCCAUACCGAGACCAUUGUUUGCAGCCUGACACAGUGGCACAUUCCUGUAACCCCAGCUAUUUGGGAGUCCGGCACGGUAGGAUCUACAAUCCCAGGCCAGCUUCGGUCACAUAGGAAGACCCCAUCUCUCUCUCUCUCUCUCUCUCUCUCUCUCUCUCUCUCUCUCUCUCAAAAACAAACAAACAAAAAUGUUUGUUAGCUUUUUUUGUGGUAAAUAAGUAUACAAAAUUACAUGCUGAACAUGUAUAUCUUGGAGGUACUUAACGGGUCAAGUAAGAUUCUUGUAAAGUUUUCAUGAAUAGAGCAGUCAAAUAUAAAAUACUGAUUUUAAGUAUUUCCAAAGAUCCGUGGCUGCAGAAUUUCCAUUUACUCUGGCUUAAUGAUUUGUGAACAAGUUCUAGUGCAGCACAGUUCCCCACACCAUGUGCUAACAGCUCAGUAGCCAUUGGUGAGUUUGCCAAGAUUCUGAACCUCCUUCAGCAGCUGAGUGGUUGCCAAUGGCCCAGGGGUUAUAAAGCAGGCUCACAGUGCUAUGCAAGAAUUUGUGAUCACUUACAUGGUGCUUGCUGUUAGGUGCCACAUUCUGUUCUAAGCAUGCUGCAAAUACUAACUUGACCCAUCGACAGAACUAUGAGGUGGGUACUGACUGGACCCAUUUUACAGAAGGGAAACAAAUAGAGUGUGACAGUGAGUGUCCCCCCAGUCCUGAAGAGCAUGAGAAAUCCCGGGCUUUGAGGGACGCCCCCUGUCCAAGAGGACUAGGAACUGAAGGAGGAGUGAAGCUAAAGGCACUGCCCGAACCCAUUGAAUCAACUGCCACCAAAGCUAACAGCACCCCUUUUGGCACCCCUGUGCUCUUCCAGGAGUGUUUCCUUAAGCCAUAAAGUGGUAACCCUGAGAACUGACCAGAAAUGGAUGCAGUGCUGAGAGUAAGUGCAAGAGAGAACAGAAAAAUCAGAUGUCACAGGCACUCUACCAAGAUAAACAGGAAGGCAAUCUUUGGGUUCCCGGAAAAUCAACGGAGAAUUUGAGCCAUUUUCUAUCUAUAGUUUGGGGACACAUACAUGAAGAUGUCUCUUCAACUUCGAAGCAGCACCUGCUGUCUGGGCCAGCAUUCUCCCAGAGGCACAUGUGUUCCCAGUGUCUCCGAGGGACACCAUGGCCUGGCUGCUCAUCUACUUCUCUCAGAAGAAAUGCUCAUCCAAGAUGCUGCCCCAGGGCUGGCCCCUUCUGGCCUCCUCCCCGAGGACUGCUGGGCCUCCCACGCCAGCGUUUGGUGCCCAGUGCGGACACCCUGCAGGGUGACUCCUCUGUACCUGCCUUUUGCUCUCCUCUUGUUCAAGGGCAGGUGCUUAAGCAACCUUGGCAUCACCGUCCUGCAGAGGCACACAGGCUAGAGAAAUCUGGAGCUCAUUUCUCUACUCACAGAUGCUAGGAUUACAGGCGUGCGCCACUGUGCCUGGCCCUCAGAGCUUGGUGUGAAAGCUGACCCCUGAUGAAGCACGGUUCUGGGUGGGGCGUUUAGGCAGUGAUGAGAACUGUGACCUUUCCAGCGGAUUGAUCCAUUUGACGGAUUCAUAUUGCAAAUGGAGGACUGCGUGCUACUGUACACAGGCCAUAGAAUCAAAGACCACAGGUAAAGUCAAGUCUGACACCUUUAGACUCUCCUGGGCACCUGCUGCAGUCACUGUGACCACUUGGUCUGAGCACAAGAGAAGGGUGCAGCUCCAUGCACGAGGGUGCCAAUCUGAUCUUGCUUCCUCACGGCACCCUGAGCAGCCCUCCUCUUCUUCUGGCAGGCCCACAUGGACCCUUCGGAUCUUCAGAUUCUUGUGUGGCUUGCACCACAAUUUCUUCUCUCCUGGUCAAAUUGUUGUAACACAUGGUACUAAUAUUUGGACAUUUGUCCCCUGAAAAAUCCUUAUUGAAGCCUAAUUGCCAUCCAAGCAGCAUGAAGAGCCAACUAAGCCGAGGGCGAGAUCUCGUGGUGGAUCACAGCCCUACUAAAAGAGCUGAGGCCACAGUGGGAGGUUCUGCCCUUGUCUGCUUUAGCUCUUCUCCUUCAACCAUGCGAUGCUGCAGCAAGAAGGCCAGCGCCAGAUGCCAGCGUCUUGUCCUGGGCCUCCCACACUCCAGAACUGUGAGCCAAAUAGAGUUCUGUUCAUUAUGAAUCCGCAGCCUCAGGAUUCCAUUACAGCAGCAGCAGUGAACGCAUGGCAUCCCGGCAAGCCGCAGAAGGCACCUUUGUAGAUAGAUAAUGGCCUCCAAAAAUAUUUCUCAGCUCUUGACUUCUGAAUGAGUCAAUGAUCUCAUGUAAAGGGGGUUUGCAAGAUAAUAAUGCCAAUAUUAGAGUAAAUGUUAUUAGUACUGUAUUCUAAGAAAAUCACUCGCUGUGAAGUAGGAAAGACUAUGGAAAUGGUUAGCAAUAUGGAACGCGCACUUCCUCAGGCAUCCAACAGAUUCUCCUUCUGCAGGGGUGGAGCUCUAGAUUGUUUAUUUUAUAUCCUUGCAUUUGUAUUGCAAAGUCCCAAUGAAAAGUAAAUUGUUUUCUGUGCUGAAUGAAUUGCAGCCGGAAUUCAAAACAGAGCUGCAGAAAGAAGGAAGAGCAAACAAGCACCACAGAGUGCAGUCAGCAGUGAGGGCGGGGGACAUGGCUGCCGCAGAGGAGAUGCUUCCAGAAGAAGGUAUAAAGGGAAAUCCUAAAGGAAGUCUCCGUGGCCACUUAGGUUACCUUACGUCUCAGGAAAUCAAUUUUUAAAAACUUUUAAAUUAAAAUUAAAUCUAUUUUAACUGAUACAUAAAAACAUAAAAAGUACAUAUUUAUGGGUUGGGGGUAGAAAUGAAUAAUAGGAGGAACUGUUGAAAAUUAACAAAUAUGUGGAAAUUAAACAAUAUGCUACUGAACAAUGAUUGGAUCAAAGACAAAUCUAAAAGGGAAACUAAAUAAUAUGUUCAAGCAAAGAAAAAGUGGAAACCAAAACCUAUUCAGCAAAAGCUGAUCUAAGAGGAAAGUUCAUAGCAAUAAGUGCCUGAAAAAGAACAGUUUCAAGUGAAGGACCUAGUGGACACCCCAAGGAAGUAAAUUAAGGAAUUUUAAUUAAGUAAUUUAAAAGGACAAAGUAACCCCAAGGUUAGCAGAAGGGAGGGAAUAAAGAUCAUAAACAAGUGAAGUAGAGAUUAUAAAGAUAACAAACGAUCAAUAAAACUAAGACUUGGUCUUUUAAAAGCUAAACAAAAUUGACACACCCUGUACUAAGGGGAAAAAAAGACUCAAAUAAAUUCAGAAGCAAAAGGAAGACAUUAAAACUGAUAACAGAAAUACAGAGGAGGAUGACCAACUCCUGCGAACAUCUAUACACCAACAAAUUAGACAACCUGGAAUAAUUGGAAGAAUUCCUAAAAACACAUAACCUACCAAGAUCAAAUAUUGAAGAGAUCUGAAGUCUGAACAGCCUAAUAAAUGACUAAGGAGAUUAAGUAAGUAAGUAAAAGUAUCCAUCAAAGAAAAGCCAAGGAAUGCAGGGCAUAGUAAUACACAACCGUAAUCUCGUUGCUCAGGAGGCUGAGGCAGGAUGGCAGCCAGUUCAAGGUCAGCCUAGGCAAUUUAAUAAGACUCUGUCUCAAAAUAAAAAAUAAAAAGUAACAAGGACUGGGGAUGUGGCUCAGUGGUAAAGCUCCCCUGAGUUCAAUCUCCAGUGCUGCCAAAGGAAAAUUUUUAAAAAAGCACAGGACCAGAUGGCUUACAUUCUAGUAAAUAUUUAAAGACAAACUGAUAUCAAUUAUUCUUAAACUCUUCAAAAAAAAUUGAAGCAUAUGGAAUACUUCCAAAUUCAUUUUACGAGAUCAGAAUUACCUGGUAUCAAAGCCAAAACAAAGGCACUACAAGAAAUGUAAAAUAUAGGCCAAUAUCACUGAUGAAUAUGGACACAAAAAUCCUAAAAAAAAAAAAAAUAGAAAACCAUAUUCAACAGUACAUUGAACAGUAUGUUCA